GGAGUCUGGGCCGUGUCUCAGUCCCAAUGUGGCCGUUCAACCUCUCAGUCCGGCUACUGAUCGUCGACUUGGUGAGCCGUUACCUCACCAACUAUCUAAUCAGACGCGAGCCCAUCUUUGAGUGAUAAAUCUUUGAUAACAAAGUCAUGCGGCUUCGUUAUGUUAUAGGGUAUUACCAUCCGUUUCCAGAAGCUAUCCCCCUCUCAAAGGCAGGUUGCUCACGUGUUACUCACCCGUCCGCCACUAAGAAUACUUAGUAAACCAAAUAUUCUCCGUUCGACUUGCAUGUGUUAAGCGUGCCGCCAGCGUUCGUCCUCGAGCCAUGAUCAAACUACU
rnacentral:rRNA from 1 species